CAGAGGGUGCAAGCGUUAAUCGGAAUGACUGGGCGUAAAGGGUACGUAGGUGGAAGAUUAAGAAUCAUGUGAAAGUCCUGGGCUCAACCUGGGGAUGGCAUGGUUGACUGGUUUUCUGGAGUACAGUAGAGGUAAGGGGAAUUUCCGGUGUAGCGGUGAAAUGCGUAGAGAUCGGGAGGAACACCUGUGGCGAAGGCGCCUUACUGGGCUGUAACUGACACUGAGGUACGAAAGCGUGGGGAGCAAACAGGAUUAGAUACCCUGGUAGUCCACGCUGUAAACGAUGAGAACUAGAUGAUUGGUGAUGAAUUUCACUGAGUAUCGAAGCUAACGCGCUAAGUUCUCCGCCUGGGGAGUACGGUCGCAAGACUA
rnacentral:rRNA from 1 species